rnacentral:siRNA from 1 species
AGCCUCACUGCUUUGGUUGAGUGG